CUUCCGUACAUAAAUAUAGCUUGGAUACAAUGUAAUUAUCCUGGUUUCCUUACCUAGGCUACAGGUGAAAGUGUUGUACCGAGUCUCAACACAGGCUGGAUAACCAUGAGCGAACUCAGCGGUGGAGGUUUGCCGGAGCCCAAGAUUGAACAGCUCAGGGCCAAGCUAAAUAUGCUUCAACAAGAGAGAAAACAUCUAGAUGAGGAGAUCAAAGACGCCAAGUCUACCAGUGACGUACUAUUAAACGACCUGAAAGCUU